UAAAAAAUAAAUAUUAAAAAAAAAAGAUGUUGUGUCCACCGAAAACUGAAAAAUAAAUAUUAAAACACACACAUACACACACUCUCUCUCUUUCUCUCCUCUCUUUUUUCUCUCUCUUUAAAAAAAGAUAUUUCUAGGAAUAUAUUACUAAAAUAUUGUGUCAAGUAAAAGCUCCUAGAACUGCUGAUGAUAAUAAUGUGACUAUGUUCUUACUUCUUACCUCACACUGAGCCAAGUCAGAUAGUUUAAUAAUAUUCUUAAGGUAUUACUUUCUUAGUUUAAAACUUUCUGUUAAGGAAGUUCCUGGUGGAAACUUUUUUAUUAUUAUUAUUAUUAGUUAGUGAAGCAGCCUGGAUAGAAUAGGAAGACACUAGAUGACCUAGAUUAAACUCUGGUUUUGUAAUAUCCUACUUUCAAGAUCUUGUGAAAAAUCAUUUACUUUCUCUGAAGCUCAAUUUAUUACCAUGAAAAAUUAGGAUAAUGACAAAUUAGUUCACAGGGUAGCAGUGAGAAUUAAAUUUAAUAGUUUAUGUGAAGAAAUUUUUUUAAAAGAGAAAGAGAGAGAGAGAGAGAAAGAGAGAGAAGAGAGAAUUUUAAUAUUUAUUUUUUUAGUUAUCA
rnacentral:lncRNA from 1 species